ensembl:lncRNA
GUAAGGAAAUGUAUUACUAAGUUUUAGUGACCAGUAAAAAAAACUGUAACCUUUCUUCAAAUAUGAACACAGGUUUUAAGUAAAAUGAUUAAUAACAGAUUUUAACACAUUUAUCACUUGUUAGUCAUAAAAAAAUGAGUAAUGAGUAAGAAAAGAAAUAACGCAGUGACAUAAGCCCAACGUAUGACGUAUGAUGAAGACGUGCCUUUUUUGUGGGAAGUCCCUUUUUGUAUCUGCACAAAAUAAAAACAUGGGGAACAGCGGUUUGUGUGCCAAAAAGACUAAUGAGGACCAUCCAGGGGCCACUCCCUCUAAUGUUGAGAAUCGGGACCCUAACCAACUAUUGAUGAACCCUGAACAAUGUAAAGAAGACCCAUUUGGUUUUAAAACCAAUGUGUAUUAUGAAAAUCAGUUCUUACCUUGGAGAUGCGUGCCUACUGCAAUGAACGUCAUGGAGAUAUGUCAAAACAACAUGGAUUUGACUGUGCCUGAAAAGAACAGUACUUGCUAAGCUGUGGAAUUAGAAUACUACUACUCAGUAGUCAAAAAACAUCAAUAGACCUGGAAGAAGAGAACAAAGGAAAAAAUUGCUGCUAUUUUUGCUGCUAACGUGUCUGCUAUUGUGUUUAGCAAAUAGCUGAAAAAUUAUGAAAGAAUGUUGUUGUUACACUCAAAAAA